rnacentral:piRNA from 1 species
CGAAGUGACCUCAUCGCCUCUGCAGAUA